UUUUGGCUGGAACAAGAACGGUCAAGUGAGAGAGAAAGAAAACUGUGAGUGAGAGGGAGAGAGACAGAGUUCAAUUCUUUAGAACUUGCUGGAAAUAUUGAAGAAAAACUAAGGAAGUUAGGAGAAGUGAAGAAGUUGUCAAGAAUACACCAAAUUGAAAAUUAAAGGUUAGACGCCACACUAUGAUCACGUGUUUCAAGGAGCCAGCUGUGAUCAAGUGCAAAAGCGAACUUAGCGGCGUCAACCUAAACUCUGCUUUGUUAAGCCAACUUAUAUGCCUCACUUUGAGGUUUCCACUGAGACAAGCUUCAAGGUUUCAUGGGUGGUUUAGAGUUCACCCUUUUGUUUUGAACGUUACUGAGACUAGUUCUGAAUGUUUUCAUAUCUGAAGUUAAGACUGAUUUUGUUAAUGCGCUUUAAUCCCUAAUUAUGUUGUAUUUUUGUACAUAAGCUUGAUGCUUGGACUGAUCUGUAUAUACAUAUAUGAAAGUUGUUUUGUUA